UCUCCGUUGGUGAACCAGCGGAGGGAUCAUUACCGAGUUCACAACUCCCAAACCACUGCGAACAUACCAUUUGUUGCCUCGGCGGUGCCUGCUUCGGCAGCCCGCCAGAGGACCCAAACCCUUGAUUUUAUACAGUACCUUCUGAGUAAAUGAUUAAAUAAAUCAAAACUUUCAACAACGGAUCUCUUGGUUCUG
rnacentral:misc_RNA from 1 species